UACGGGGGGGGCAAGCGUUGUUCGGAAUUACUGGGCGUAAAGGGCGCGUAGGCGGCCUGCUAAGUCGAACGUGAAAUCCCUGGGCUCAACCCGGGAACUGCGUCCGAUACUGGUUGGCUUGAAUCCGGGAGAGGGAUGUGGAAUUCCAGGUGUAGCGGUGAAAUGCGUAGAUAUCUGGAGGAACACCGGUGGCGAAGGCGACAUCCUGGACCGGUAUUGACGCUGAGGCGCGAAAGCCAGGGGAGCAAACGGG
rnacentral:rRNA from 1 species